rnacentral:tRNA from 1 species
CCGAUUUUAGCUCAGUGGUAGAGCAGCUGACUGUAGUCAUCAGCUGGUCGCUAGUUCAAUCCUGGCAAAUCGGA